GAACGAGAAAGUGGAGCAAUCCAUGAGUAAAGUGGCGACCGGGUGAGUAACACGUGACUAACCUACCCUAGAGUGGGGGAUAACCUCGGGAAACCGGGGCUAAUACCGCAUAACAUCUUCGGGAUGAGAAGCUGAAGAUCAAAGGAGCAAUUCGCUGGAAGAGGGGGUCGCGGCUGAUUAGCUAGUUGGCGGGGUAACGGCCCACCAAGGCGAUGAUCGGUAGCCGGCCUGAGGGGGCGCACGGCCACACUGGAACUGAAACACGGUCCAGACUCCUACGGGAGGCAGCAGUGGGGAAUUUUGCGCAAUGGGGGAAACCCUGACGCAGCAACGCCGCGUGGAGGAUGAAGCCCUUUGGGGCGUAAACUCCUUUCGACCGGGACGAUGAUGACGGUACCGGUGGAAGAAGCACCGGCUAACUCUGUG
rnacentral:rRNA from 1 species